AUGGUGCCCUCCAUCCCCUACAUGGCGAUCGCCAUCUUUGAAAAUGGCGAAACAAUUAUUGGAAAUUGCAGAAUCUCACCCACUACCCCACGAUUGGAAGAUGGCGCCCGCUAUCCCUAUAUGGCGCCCGUCACCCUUUAUUUUUUCCAGGCGGCUGAAACCAACCCCAUCGAUGGAGGAAGGGUAGUUUUGUACUUCCCAAGGUUUUUGUUUCCUAUAAAUAGGCCUUAG